rnacentral:rRNA from 1 species
CAAAAGCGUAUAUUAAAGUUGUUGCAGUUAAAAAGCUCGUAGUUGAACCUUGGGCUUGGCUGGCCGGUCCAUCUUUUUUGAUGCGUACUGGACCCAGCCGAGCCGUUCCUUCUGGCUAGCCUUUUGGCGAACCAGGACUUUUACUUUGAAAAAAUUAGAGUGUUCAAAGCAGGCCUUUGCUCGAAUAUAUUAGCAUGGAAUAAUAGAAUAGGACGUUAUGGUUCUAUUUUGUUGGUUUCUAGGACCAUCGUAAUGAUUAAUAGGGACGGUCGGGGGUAUCAGUAUUCAGUUGUCAGAGGUGAAAUUCUUGGAUUUACUGAAGACUAACUACUGCGAAAGCAUUUACCAAGGACGUUUUCAUUAA